GGGCGCUUAGCUCAGUCUGGCAGAGCGCUUCCCUUACAAGGAAGAAGUCACAGGUUCAAAUCCUGUAGCGCCCACCA
rnacentral:tRNA from 1 species